rnacentral:lncRNA from 1 species
CAAGAACAGAACAGUAGAAAACCCCAGGCAGAGCUGAAGACAGUGACAGAAGAGAUUAUUGCUUCUGAAGAAGAAAAAAAUGAUUACAAGUCACACAUAUAUCUAAAUCUUAUCCUUAAGGAAAUGCAAAUAGUUCAUUUGUCAACAUUUCAUCCCUGACAUUAGUUGAUUCUACGUUGACUUAGUCAGGAUUCUCUGAAGAAACAGAACCAGGAGAAUAUAUACAGAUAUAUUAGAAGGAAUUUACUGAGGGGGGUUGGCUCAAGUGAUUACAGAGGAUAAGAAGUCUCAUGCCCUGCCAUCUUCAAGCUGAAGAAUCGGAAAGUCACUGAUGUAAUUCAGUCCAAGUCUAAUGGCCUGAUAACUAAGAGUCAACUGAUGUAAUUCCCAGUCUGAGCCUGAAGUUCUGCGAUCUAGGAAGAGGAGUACUAGUAAUAGAGGCUAACAGCCCAAGGACCAAUUCUGAUACCUGAACUCCACAAUAUAGAGUGAGACUUCAUCAGUCCUUUGCCCUUUGUUCUAUUACAGCCCUCAGUGGAUUGGAUGAUGUCUAUUUAUACUCAUAAUGGUGGGUAUUAUUUAUUCAGUCCAAUGAUUCAAAUGCUAAUGUCUUCAGAAACACUCUCACAAACUGGCCCAGAACUAAUGUUUUUCCAAUUGUCUGUGUAUUCUUUUGGCCAGUCAAGUCUACUGUCACAUAUGUAUUUUUGAAUGUUACCUGCAUAUGCAAUAUUCAAAUUCUCUUAUUGUUUAUCCACUAAAAGUUGAUUCCAUAUUAUGGAAUCUAAGCACUAAAUUUUAUUUAGAAAUGAUAAAUGUGUGUACAUGCAUGGAGUGUGUGUAUGUCCAGAUACAAAACCAUUUAGAUAUCCAUCCUGAAAGAUCAAGUAAAAUACAAAUGAAUUGCAUCUAUUGCAAACUUCUUAUACAUAGUCUGCUCUUUGCUCAGUUUUCCACUUUUAAUUUGGACAACACUACUUAUGAAGGCUAAAUACAUCUAUUUAUUGACAGUCCCUAAGUCAUAUCUUAAACUUCACAUAUCUUUAAUUUUUCUCCCAUUACACUUACUAAAAUUUGCUACUUAUAUCUAUUAAUGAACCAUCAAUAUCUACAGUAAUUUUGGCAUAACUCUCUAUAUUAUGAAGUGUAUCAUGACAGAUCUCUGGCAAUAUUAACUGGGCAGUUGUUUAACUGUCAUUUCAUAUUCCCUGUAGUAUGAGUAUACACUUACAUUGUACUGUGAACUUUCUUUGCUAAGCAUGGUAUUUGAAAGUGAAAAAGUUUGAAUAAAAAAUAUUCUGUUCUUAUUAAUUGAACAUGACAAAAAUUGUUGCAUAAAAUUUUGUGUCAUUUUCUUUGUUUUUCCAUAAUCAUAUAAUGAUUAAAAUGUUAGAAAAUAGUAGUAUGUUCAUAGGGUACAUUCUGAUACUGUAUUUCAAUAGAUGUAG